rnacentral:rRNA from 1 species
GAAAAAAUUAUUUUGUUUGUUUUUGUAUUUAUUAAUAAUUUAAUUUUUUUGNUGAUAAAGUAUUUGUACUGUGAAGGUUUAUUGAGAUAAUAAUAAGUUAUUAAUUAAGUUUAUUUUAUUUGUAGUACCUUGUGUAUCAGGAUUAAUUAAUUAUUUANUAUAAAUUUUANUAUUCCCGAUUUCAUAAGAGUUAAUUUAUUAUUUUAGUUAUUGUUUUAUAAAUAUUAAUAAUAAUNAAUUGGUAGUGAAAUGUUAAUCGUUUAUGAGGAUAUCUGGUUUUUUGGGAAAUAAAUUUAAUUUACAUUUUUUCUUUAAUUUUUUUCUUUUUAAUUUGAUUUAAGUUUAAAUGAAUAUUAAGGGGGAUAAACUCUUUUAUAAAUUUCUAUAAAAUAUAAUUUAUAUAAUAAAGUUAUGUGGAUUUAAUAGUGAUUAUCAUUAUAAAUAUGUUAAAAUUUUAUUUNUUUAUUAUUUAAUUUUAAAUAUUUUUAGAUUUGUACUGAAUUAUUUUAAUAAAUUUUUUUUUAAUUUUAAUUAUGAUUAAAUUAGUAUAUUAAUAUAUUUUAUAUAAUUUUUUAUUUGUAAGUAAGUUUGAGGAAUUAGGCAAAAAGUUUAUUCGCCUGUUUAACAAAAACAUCUUUUCUUGUAUUUGAAUAUGAAAUAUAACCUGCUCAAUGAAUUUUAAAUAGCCGCGGUAUAUUGACCGUGCAAAGGUAGCAUAAUCAUUAGUCUUUUAAUUGUAGGCUGGAAUGAAUGGUUGGACGAAAUAAUAACUUUCUUAAAUUUAUUAAUUUGAAUUUAAUUAUUGUGUUAAAAAGCUCAAAUUUUUUUUUGGGACGAGAAGACCCUAUAGAGUUUAAUAAUUAAUAUAUUUUUUAAUAUUNGAUGUUUUGGUAAUUAUAUUAAAUUAUUUUGUUGGGGUGAUGUAAANAUAUAAUAAACUCUUUUUAUUUGUUGUUUAUAAAUUAAUAUUUAUUUGAUCCAUUUUUAGUGAUUAAAAGAUUAAAUUACCUUAGGGAUAACAGCGUAAUCUUUUUUGAGAGUUCUUAUUGACAAUAAGGGUUGCGACCUCGAUGUUGGAUUAAGAUUAUUCUUGGGUGCAAAAGCUUAAGAUUUAGGUCUGUUCGACCUUUAAAUUCUUACAUGAUCUGAGUUCAAACCGGCGUGAGCCAGGUUGGUUUCUAUCUAUUAAUAAAUUUAUUAUUUUAGUACGAAAGGACCAAAUAAUAGAAAUAAUUUUAUUAACUUGAAUAAU